GAACUUGCAUUGUUUCUUUUUACCAGUAAAGAAGAAGCAUUAUUAAUGAGAACAAGUACUCGCAUUGUUAUUGGGUGAACCUAUGUAGUUGUUAGUGACAGAAGGUUCAGUAAAUGAUGCCACUAGU